GACACCUGCAGAAAAGGGAUCUCUGAAGACACUCGCUUCCGGUAGGGAAGGACCCAAACCCACCCGCACCUCCCGCAUCCCUCCCGCACGAGCAGGUCGGUGAGCUCGUCCGCGGACUCCGAAACGAUGGCCUCCCCGGGGGCUGAGCUCCGACAGGCCAGCCGGGUAGACGGGCCAGAAGCGUCCCGACACCGUCGAGCCGGGACCGCCAGUCCCCCGGGCUCCGGGCGGUUUCCCCCCCAAGGAGGAGAAGGAGGAUGUGGAAGGUGGGAGUGACUUCAUGAAUGCUGUCAUUUAUAACUGAAAUCGAAAGGAAUCGUUUCAAGCUGACAAAUCAAGUCAUACAAGUAUAAACAUUUAACACCACGAAGGGGAUCAUCUGUAGCAAACAUCUUGCCCCCCAAACUCCUCUUGUUGGCUUCUGGAGAACUCAACUUGUGACAACACAUAACACCCAGCCCUUAACCUGGCAACUUCCCUUCUUUGGUAUUAGAAAUGCUAGAAAAUUCUAGCAUUUGAAUUACCCAAAAUGUUAAAUAAACCUGGUCAGAAUUUAGACCCAACUACAAAAAAGCUUACAUCCAGUGUAAGUUAUUUAGGAAAUUCCAAAUGCUUUUCUUUGUUACUUGCUACAUGUAGUACUUUAUAAAUGAUGCUUUUCUGCACACGAGCAGGAGCUCUUUUCUCAAAAGCUAGUGCAGAACACAUGUGACUGUUCACUUAAAAGGUUUAGCAAAGUCCUAGUCAACUGCAUUUGACAUUACUUCUAGUACCCUCAACCAUACUUACAGUCUACAAACAUGGUAGGACGAGAGAAUGGGGAAGCAACUGAGGCACUUGACUCAGGAACAAAGUUUGGUGGGAUUCCAAAAUAAUCAGUCAUCAACAUAAAUGGCAUUUUAAGAUGAUAUUAAAAAAUUAAUGCAAAAAAUAUCCAUGAUUUAAAAAUAUCAAAAUUGUUAUUGAGAUCAUCUUCACAUGACUGACUGAAUGAAUAGCAGAGGUUUGUGAUGGGGUUACAUACCUGCGGUCAUCACCCCAAAGCACCUCAUUCUACUUCCUCAUAAAUUGUUGAUGACAUUUUUUUCUGAUUUGAAAAAUAACAAAUAUACUUCACAUCCAUUAUGAUGACUAUUAUAAAAAAACGAAACUAAACAAAAAUGAACAAUAACCAGUGUUGGUGAAGAUGUGGCAAAAUGCAUUGGUGAUGGGGAUACCGAAUGGUGUCAUUACUGUAGUGGUUUCUCAAAACGUUAAACAUGGAAUGACCAUGUGAUGAUUCAGCAUAUGAUGAUUCUACAUACCUAGCAGUUCCACUCCUAUGUAUACACCCAAAAGGGCCUCAAUUCUUGGGUAUAUACCCAAACAGAUCCUUGAAUACCCAUGUCUUUAGCGGCAUUACUCACAAUAGCCAAAGGUGGAAACAAGAAAAAUAUUCACUGGCAGAUAAAUGAAUAAACAAAAUGUGGCUUAUAUGUACAUACAAUGGGAUAUUAUUCAGCUUGAACAAAUGAAGUUCUAAUAACAUGCCACAGCAUGGAUGGACCUUGAAAAGACUGUGCCAAGUGAAAUAAGCCACAUGCGGAAGGACACAUGGUGUUUGAGUCCAUUUAUAUGAGGUACUUAAAAUAGGCAAAUUCAUAGAGGAAGAUGGUAGAAUAGUGGUCACCAGGGACUGGGGGGAUGGGGUGGGAAGCUAUUAUUUAAUAGUUUCCACUCAGGUUGAUGAAAAUUCUGGAAAUGGGUGGUGGUGAUGGUUCCACACAGUGUAAAUGUAUUUAAUGCCACUGAAUUGGGCAUAUAAAAAUAGAAAAUAUGGUAAAUUUUAUGUCAUGUAUUUUUUACAGUAAAAAUGACAAAUGCUCACCUCAUAAAGUUAAACAAAUAAGAAAAUAAAGAGUAAAUUUUAAAUUAUUACUCGUGCUAUCACCCAGAGAGAUAGCUGGCUUCAGACCUUUCAUAGAACAUCUUGGGAUGACCUCACAACGUGUGGCAGCAUCAUUAAGACAUGCAUUUUUUUCCUCUCUGGCUUUUCUCUUCCUGUGUUAUGUGAGGAUAUCAGGCUUCACUUGCACGGUGUACACAGACAAAAGCAUCUUGGCCUGCAUAAUGUUUUCAUAUUGGCUGACUCCCCCUAACAAAUCCUAAUUUCUCUUGUCACUCAAGAGAUUAAGUGAAAGACCUUUGAGAGCAAGAGGAGAAAAGAGAAUUUGUAGGCUCCAAGAAGGAAUGGGGACAGAAUCUCUCACAUCACAAGUUCUAAGGGUUGGACCCAUGGACACACACCAGUGGCCAAUCCUCAGAUAGGAUGGCACUGAGGUGUCCAGCCUUCUGCAAAGAUUCUUCUAUUGUAUUCCUGGCGUGGAAGAGGAGAGCUAAGGAACGUCUCUGGACAUAAGCAAUAAGAACACCAGUAACAGACUUACUUGGUACACUAGACAUUUAUCUCCUGUUAUGAAUCUAUUGACAAUUAUUUAGAAGUCUUUGGGAAAAGAAGAUAGAAGUCUUGGAGGUCUGGCAACUUUCUAAGACACAACUAUUCCUAUAUCAAGGAUUGGCUACAUCAAAAUGUCUUGGCAUGACAGCCAUUGGGUUAUUGGGUUUUGUCUUUAGUUUCUUUUAAUCUAGAAGAGUCUCUUAACCUUUUAUUUCAUUUAAGGGUCUCCACUUUGUGGAGACCAGGCUGGUUAUCUAGUAGAUGCCCUAUAUUCUCAUUUGACUGAUUGGUUCUUCCCAAUAUUAUGUCUCUCUCCCUUGAAUUUUCUGGAACCCAGCUGUUAGGUGUAUGGCUAACAUUUUUGUUUCAAGAGGAGAUUCAGAUCCCACAUUUUUGGUAGGAUAAGCAUAUUUUGUAUCUCUUUCUACCCAGCAGCACAUGUCAAUUUGUCUACUGUAAGUGAUGCUCAAUUUAAUUGGACUUCUUGGGUAAGGUGGUGACGAGUGUCUCUCUCCAUUGUAAAGAUCAUAUUCCCCUCUUUAAACAGCAGGUCACCUGGGAGUGACACCAUGAAAUGUAGGCAGAUUGUCACCAAUAAUUCCUCCCAUUUCUGUUAGCAUGUUCUGCUCCUCCCAUCAAGAGGUAGAAAUCUUUUUCAUCCCUAUUCUGGACUGGCCUUGUAACAGUUUAAGUAAUUAUAAUGUGGUAGAAGUGGUAUAUCCUUAUUUUGGGGCCUAGGCCUUAAGAUGCCUUAAAGCGUCUCUUUUUGCCCUCUUGGGUUCAAGCUACCCAGUAAAGAAACUCGGGCUGGACUACUGAAUCGUAAUAGAGCAUGAAGAGGAGAGAGGUCCCCCCAGUCCAGCUGGAGGCAUCAGAGAUAGGAGUGAAGCCAUCUUGAAUUCUUCAGCCCAGGUCAAGCUAUCCCAGCCAACACCACGUGGUCAGAGGCAAGCCCUGUCCAUGGAGCUCUGCUUAACUUGCAGCCAUGACAAAAAAAUAAAUGGUAUUUUAGGCCAACAUGGAUUUUGAGUGGUUUGUCAUUCAGGCAACAUAGGAAACAAAUCCCAUAUAAAUAUUCUGUGUUUCAUGCGAUAGUUUUAGCAUCCAUUGAUAUUUGCCUGGGUCAAUUAUUUCAUUGGGGUUGCCACAGGAGAGUUUAAAUUUUGCUGUUCUCUCUACAGCAGAGAGAGAGAGAGAGAGAGAGAGAGAGAGAGCAGAGAGAAGAGGGGGAGAGAAAAAGCACCAGUUUUCUGUCAACUUGGUAUAAAUGGCUGUUCCUCCUGAGGAUGGAGGGUAAAUGCUUCAUCUUUCCCAUGAUUAGUUUUCAGAACAGAAAGGUGAAGAGUCAGUCACUCCCCAAGGAUGGCAAAUAGGGUUCUCCACCCUCUGCUUCUAGUCUUCCUUCAGUGCUUGUCCUCCAGUCCCCUGGGUCUCCACACAGACCUGUCCAUGAACUCAAAGCAUUGUGCUCUAACCGCUGAGUCAUUUGUCUGUUGAACUGAACUCUGUUUCUUGAAGGCAGGCACAUUAGGGGCAAAGCCAAGUAUGUCUCAGUUCUACGCGAACCUAGAUUUCUAUCAUACUCCUACUUUUUUUCUUCGUGCAUAUUAUCUUACAUGGUUUAGAUAAUAUCUGAUAAUAUUUUUAACCAUGACACUGCUUUAUCUUUGGGUGAUUUUGAUGUUUUUUCAUUUCAUUUUUUUGAUGAAAAGAGUACUGGCCACAGUAGAGUGGGCUGGUAAUAGAAAUCAGCAGUUCCUGACCCGCAAACCCCAACUCCACCAGGAGUAAGCACUUUCGGUUUUUUAGGUUUGGUUCUUGUACGUCUCUCUCUCGCUUUUUUAAUGGCCACAGUAUCUUUCAACUCAAAUGCCUUUUUCACAGUGUUGCCUUGUCUCCCAGUGACAGGUGGGAUCUAUAUCCUCUCCCCUAGAAACUGGAGGGCCUUUGUGACUGUUCCAACCAAUACAGUACGGCAGUGGGGACGCAGUGUGACUUCUGAGACUGCUACAGAGACUGCCAAAGUUUUCUGCCUCUCUGGGAAUACUUGGAUCUCGAAGCCUUCGUCCUGACCACCUGGCGGAAGUCCCACGUAGACACUGCCUGGGGAGGCUUCAUGGAGCUGCCCCUACUGCCCCCGGAGUUUCAUUGCUCUGCCAUGCCAGCCCCAGCCGCUCUGUGACCACAUCUGUGCACAUGGUUCCUAGCUAGACCCCGUGAGCUCCUGAUCCACAGCAAUCAAGAGAGAAAAUGGUGCUUUAAGUCAUGAUGGUCAGGCCUCUUGGGAGGCCAGACUUGGUUUUUUGGUCAUACUAAGAAAGUAGCACCUUCAUUUACUCUGGUCCCAAGGAUCCCAGCAUCACUGAAUUAUUGCUUAUGAACUCCGUGGGGAAGAUCAUUCUAAUUGUCACGCAUGCACGUUCUAAUUGCCUCAUAUGCUGACAAAUCCACUUGGCUUGUAAUGGUUAAUUGACAUGACAUGGCUUCUGCAACCAAAGGAUCUUUUCAGCUCUGACGAAAUCAAAGAGCCAGUGAAAUAACUGGCUUUCACCUAUCAAAGGCUCGGUUACGGGGCUGGGUCAUGGAUCUCCCCUGGGAACAGUGAAGCCUGGGGAAGGUUCUCAAAAGAUGAAUCCAUGCCAGCAUUUCUAUUUCCUAAAGAUACUGGGUUCUUCCUUCUGCAUUAUGUAUUAAUGGAGUUCCGAUUCGAUUGUCGAGUUGUUUCUUCAACCACCGAAGCAAUUAAAACCACUCCCAGCAGCUCAAACUGAAAUUCUAAAUUCAGUCUGAUUGAACCUGUAUCAUUAAGUCUUGAUCAUUUCUGAAACUCGGCUCUCCUUUUCUUGACUGAUCACCAAAACACUCCAUUCCCACCCAGAGUGUUCCAGGUAUGUCCUGAGGCUCAGAAUCCUUCAAAUCCUUAUAAAUAUACACAUCCCAAUACUAUGCACCCUGCUCUUUGCCUCCCAAAUUUCCUUACCUUCACAUUAAAAAACCAAUAAACUCCACAAAACUUGUUGAAUCUGAAUUUAACUGCUAUCACUUGGUAACUGCACAAAUACUAAGUUUCACUUGAAUUUUUUGAUACUGUGAAUGUGAGGAAUGUUUAUAGUCAUGGAUCUCUGGGUUUCUCUCCCUGCCCUAACCUCAAAACAGCAGUCUUUGCCUUCAUUUUGUUCUGUAGUAGCUAGGAAGGAGUUCCCGUGUCUUGUCCUCACUGGGCACUUCAUUCCAUGGGACCACAGACCAUUGUGUAAUUAGCUGUCUCACCAUGAGCUACCAGAUUCCCAUCAGGUCAGAUACUAGUGAUGCGGAUUCUGUUUUUAACGUCCUGCCAUCUUUGUGGUGCUCAAGACAGAUGGACCUGGAUGGCAGCACCUGAUGCACCAUGGCUGGUCGGGUGCCCAUGAGGGUUGCCUUGUAAUGGAGAAAAACAGGAUGUCCCCACUUUGGUUCCUGUAGCGGGAGGCUAGGGGCAUUCCCAAAAGCAGAAGGGCAGUUUGGGGGAACAGCAUGCUUCCCAAGUACAUUUGUUUGAUGACUUGUCUACGCCGUUCUGUUUUUUACUCUCUUCUUAAAAGCUUUCCUAUUAUUAUAGAGCUCCAGAGGGAGACACAAACUCCUGUGAUCAGCUCUUGGCCCAACUGUAAUUCUUCCCUAAAAACUUUUGCUUAUUUUGGGAAAUUAAAAUAUUUAAAGAUAAAAACAAAGGAAAACUUGGGGCGCCUGGGUGGCUCAGUGGGUUUAAGCCUCUGCCUUCAGCUCAGGUCAUGAUCCCAGGGUCCUGGGAUCGAGCCCCACAUUGGGCUCUCUGCUCCGCAGGGAGCUUGCUUCCCUUCCUCUCUCUCUGCCUGCUUGUGAUCUCUGUCAGUCAAAUAAAUAAUAAAUUAAAAAAAAAUCUUAAAAAAAAUUAUUAAAAAAAAAAACAAAAAACAAACAAACCCAAAGGAAAACUUAGCAAACAUCCAUACUGCUAUCACACAGAUUUAGCCACUGUUAAUUUCUUGAUGUAUUUGCUUUCAUUCCUAAUUUAAAGUAAAAAUGUGUGGGGCAGGUUGGAGGGGGGCAAAAAUAAUACAUACUUAUUGUAAAGUAUUCAGACUGAGAAAAAAUUACAGAUUCAUUCACUCAAUAAAUAUUUAUUGAGCACCCAUCAGGCACCAGGCACUGUUCCGGAUACUGAGAUACAGCAGAGAGAGAGGAAAGAAAGACCAGAAAAUCCAAGCUCUCACAGAACAUACAUGUUAGCAGAAAAAACUACAAGUGAGAAAAACAGGGAACUACACAGCAUGUUACAUGGUAAGUGCUGCAGAGGAAACUAAAGCAGGGAAUGGGUAUAAGGAGCGUCCGGAGGGACUGCGAUUUUAAAUAGGACGACCGGGGAAUCUCUCACUGAAAAGGUGACAUCUGAAAAUAUACCUGAAGAUAAAAGGGGGAGAGAAAAUUAAAAAAAAAAAAAUCAACCAAAAUCUCACUAACCACAAAUGACAAAAUGAACAUGAGGUGAAAAAAAAUUUGUUACCUUUCUAUGUAUACAAACAGAAACAUACAGCUAGGAGAAACAUACUAUUAUAAAAAUGGAUGCAAACUUUAAAAUAUUUUUUCUUUUCAAUCAUCAAUUUUUAAAGCAUCUUUGUUGUGUCUGGGGAUUAGAGAACAUACACGUAGAUGUGCAGAGAUCUACAUAUCAGAUUUGAGAUUAUAUUAAGUCUAGAUUCAACUCGGUUAGAACUGAUACUUCAACCAUCUUCUGAUUCAUGAACAAGGCCCAUUUCUCUAUUUACUCAGGUUUUCCUUUGUAAUGUAUCCUAGUUUUCUAUGUGAAGGUCUGCACAUCUUUCAGACUUGAGAUAUCUGAUGCAAUUAUAAUUGGUAUUGUUUUCAUAAUUUCAAUUCCUAAUUGUUGCUCAGAUAUACACCAUGAUUUGAUUAACUUUGCAUGCUGUAACCUUAUUAAAUUCAAAUUCUAAGAUUAAUUUGGAUUUGCUACAUAUACAAUGUUAUCUGAAAAUAAUUUUGUUUCCUUUUCAAUCUCUAAACUUAUAAAUUCCUGUCUAAAGUUGAAAAGAAGUGGUGAUAGCAGGAGAGUAAAGUUUUCUAUAAUUCACAAUUAAGUGUGAUGCUUCCUACAGUACUGCUUUUUUUCCCUUUUUGUAGAUGCCCUUUAUUAGCUCCCUUCUAUUCCUAGCUUGUAGGGUUUUUCUUAAAAAAAAUAAAAAUAAAAAAAUCAUAAAUGGGUACUGGAUUUUAACAAAUGCUUUUUAUGGCUCUAAAAAUGUAACUUCUGUACAUUACUUUGAUAAAUGCAAUAAACAUUAAUUUUUCAACUACA